rnacentral:tRNA from 1 species
AGGAAUGUAGCUCAGUGACAGAGUGCUUGGCUGUCAUGCAAAAGGCCCUGGGUUCAAUCCCAGCACUA